rnacentral:lncRNA from 1 species
GUGUAUUCUUAAACAAUUAUUAUUUUUUUCUCUUUUUUAGCAAUGUAUCACUCUCUACUGUCCUUAUCUAUUAUUCUAUAUUCUGCUACUCCAUCCAGAUUAUCGUGUAUACCAUGAGGGUUCGGAUUGGGUGUGUUGUUUAUUUCUGUAUUCUUUAAAUUGUUAUGUCACGUUUCUUCCGUGACGUUUUUUCCUUUUACCUUUUAUUUAUCUUACUCAUUAUUCUUUCUCUAUUCUUUAUAUUUUAGCAUCCCAAUAUAUUUUACUUAUACUGAUGUUUAGUUACAUUACGACGUUUAUCUCUGAUUUAUAUACUG